ensembl:misc_RNA 7SK 7SK RNA
AGAUGUGAGGGUGCUCUCUGAACAUCUGUCACACUGUUGAUUGGGCUGACCUCGAUGGCUAGGCAGUGUCUCCUUCCUCCCUUCUCUGCUUCAUGUGCAUCUCUCCCCAAGCAGCAUGCUUUAUCAAACAGGACAACCAGCCCCAACAGAUGAGGACCGUUUCCUCAGUCAGUGAUACAAGCAGCUACACUCCCUUGCUCAAACCUCCAAACAAGCACUCAAGAAUAUAUAAGAAAGCUAGGGAUUUAGCUCAAUGGCACAAGUACUAGUCUGGCAAGUGCAAGGUUCUGAGU